ACCGAGCGAUGCUGCGUGCAGGAAGAAGGCCUUCGGGUUGUAAACUGCUGUCGUACGGGAAGAACUUUGACGGUACCGUACAAGAAAGGGGCGCCUAACUCUGUGCCAGCAGGCGCGGUAAUACAGAGGCCCCAAGCGUUAGCCGGAAUUAUUGGGCGUAAAGCGUCCGCAGACGGAGUAGUAAGUCUACUGUUAAAUCUGAUGGCUCAACCAUCAGGCCGCAGUGGAUACUGCUAUUCUUGAGGCAGGCAGAGGUAAGCGGAACUCCUGGUGGAGCGGUGAAAUGCGUUGAUAUCAGGGGGAACACCAAUUGCGAAGGCAGCUUACUGGGCCUGUCCUGACGUUCAGGGACGACAGCGUGGGGAGCGAAUGGGAUUAGAUACCCCAGUAGUCCACGCCGUAAACGAUGCUGACUAGGCAUUGGGAGAUUGACCCUCUCAGUGUCGAAGCUAACGCGUUAAGUCAGCCGCCUGGGUAGUACGGCCGCAAGGCUA
rnacentral:rRNA from 1 species